GACGAACGCUGGCGGCGUGCUUAACACAUGCAAGUCGAACGGAAAGGCCCUGCUUUUGUGGGGUGCUCGAGUGGCGAACGGGUGAGUAACACGUGAGUAACCUGCCCUUGACUUUCGUAUAACUUCAGGAAACUGGGGCUAAUAUCGGAUAGGAGCUCCUGCUGCAUGGUGGGGGUUGGAUCGUUGUGGCGGUUGGGGAUGGACUCGCGGCUUAUCAGCUUGUUGGUGGGGUAGUGGCUUACCAAGGCUUUGACGGGUAGCCGGCCUGAGAGGGUGACCGGGCACAUUGGGACUGAGAUACGGCCCAGACGCCAACGGGAGGCAGCAGGGGGGAGUAUGGCACAGUGGGCGGAAGCCUGAUGCAGCAACGCCGCGGGCGGGAUGACGGCCUGCGGGUUGUAAACCGCUGUCGCCUGUGACGAAGCGGGAGUGACGGUAAUGGGUAAAGAAGCACCGGCUAACUACGUG
rnacentral:rRNA from 1 species